GGUCUUCGAGGGGCGGUUCCCUUACCCGCCCGCACCCACCCCAGGUAGGGGGCUCUUGAGGCCACCGUCUAGUCCAAGGUUCUGUGACCCCUGUUAAAUGCCCCUGACUCCCAAUUGCAGAAAAGAAAAACCGAGGCCCAAGAGAUAUUUUAUGCCCUCACAUAUAUGGGGUUCAAAGUAAAUACAAAAGAAUAAACAGGGGUGAAGAGGGACCCCCGUCCCAUUCCCGAGGCGUAAGACCCCCCACUGAGGGAGGGGCUAGUAAAGACUCCACCCCUCCCCCGUUUCUGAGGUUUGAAAAGAAAGAAGUAGAGGUCAAGAGAGCCUUCCCUCCCCACCAUUCCCAGAAAAGGAGGAAGGGACUGAUGGACUCUCUGGGAACCCCCUCCCCUCCCUGCGCCUCGUCAUCAAGAGUCAAAUUCGAAGAAAAGGUUUAGCAGGGACAGAGAAGCGACCUGUCCCGGAAACCCCUUAAAGCCUGCGGCACGCGAAGAGGGAAGCAGAGGGGAGCGAUGGAUACUGAGGCUUCCGGAGGCGGGGAUCGAACCCUAGGCUUGAGCAUGGUGCUGCCCAGUCCGCUCGGAGGGCCGACCAGCAGGACGAGCUCUUCCCGGCGAGGUGCGGAACCAAAGUAAGUUCGGAGUAAAGACCCUGUCGGCCGGACGCGGUAGCUCGCGCCUGUAAUCCCAGUGCUUUGGGAGGUCGAGGUGGGUGGAUCGAGACCAGUCUGAGCAACAUGGUGAAACCCUAUCGCUACUAAAAAUACAAAAAUUAGCCAGUACUCCUAUAAUAUCGUCCAGGCAGUGACUCAACAAAGCUCACCCAGGAAGGUCCGGGAGAUGUACUGGGACACCUGGUUCCCAGAGCGGCUGGUUUCGGACAGGUGGGUCAACUCCCGGUUCAGGAUCCGCUUGAACUGGGGCGGAGGGAAGGUGAAGACCGUGAUGAUGGGGCACCGUGGGCGGAGGCAGGUGAGCUCAGCGAUCUGCACCACCUCACCUUGUUGGAGGCCAUCUCCCCCACCGAGUGCCGGGUCUGCAGCGUCUCCAACUGAUCCAGGCACCAGUCCAGCUCGUCUAGCGUCUCCAAUGCCAGCUUUUGCCCCGUGUCCUCUGGGAGCCGAGGCAGUCAGGGGCCUGCCCAACCCCCGCUCAGGGACCCCAUGCCUCUCACGCCUUCGUCUCUGCAUCUGGACCCUGAAACUGUUCCCACGGGGGCCACCCAGGACUCCUGGACCCCAGUUCCAGAUGUGUCCCCCGAGUGCCUGUGUGACCAUGAGAUCUCUGGGCCUCAGCCUCCUCAUCUGUAAUAUGAGUGUGGUGGGGUCCAUCCCCGAGGG